UUGGUCGCUCUUCAGGAUUUAUUUUUAAAGGCGUAACCGGAUGUUGUAAUGUUUUGCACUGAGCUUGACACUCGACACCUGCACGCGGAGCAAUCGCAAACACCAGCCGACGUCACGUGGAAGGAGCAGGAGGCGCAAGGCUGAGGAUCGGAGCUACAUCGGUCACACCAAAAUUUUCUGGAAUAAAACGUACAAUUCCAGCCGCACGUAAUCCGUGGAUUAAAUCUCGUUUCAACAAAGAUCGGGCCGUUUGAGUCACUUUUGUCAGAGUCACUUCUGCACCGUGACUUGCUUCUGGCUGCAAUGCUUCAAGAUUUCGCAGCAGGAACCCGCAUUCCUGCUGUGGUGAGGUAUUUGGUGUGAGAACAGAUUUGGACUACCUGCUGCCAAGCACCAGGCCUGCUGGCUGUUACAACAGGAAGCCAUGCUGGCUGCCAUGCUGCGCCAGAGCUCUGGCGGAGGAGGUGGAAGUGUCGGUGCUGGGGGAAACAAACUGUCUCUGGGUUUCUCUCGAUUCUCCACCCCCGGUUUAGGUUCAGGGGGUCCUGUCAGUGUGGGCCCUCCUCUGCCUGCAAGGACUACCAAGAGUGGCUUGGUGGACUCUGACAGCCAAAACCCGCCUGCCUCAGACCCAAACUACAUCAUUCAGCUCGUCAGUGAUGUGCGAAAAUUUGCCAAUGUGCUUCUUCAACUCAAAGAUGUUUUCAACUC